rnacentral:misc_RNA from 1 species
GGACAAUCUUGAUCUGUAUUCAGGUAAUUAUAUUCAAAAAAGAUUAGACCCUUUUUGUGUUUUCUUUGUUGUUUGGGGCUUAUCGAAAAUAAUCUCUCUUGCUUUAAACACUUUUCACACCCCAUUUGUGAGAUAUGUUGUUGUUGGUGUUUUUUGGGAAGUUUUGUGGUUUUGUUUAUGUAUUUUGAUUGAAAAGAUUGGAGCUUUUUGUGGUUUAGUUGGUGUUUUGAAAAGUGUUUUGAGGUUUUAUGUAUGUAUUUUGAUUGAAAAGAUUAGUU